AGAACUAUAGCUCAGUUGGUUAGAGCACCACCUUGACAUGGUGGGGGUCGGCGGUUCGAGUCCGCCUAGUUCUACCA
rnacentral:tRNA from 1 species